CCUACGGGAGGCAGCAGUGGGGGAUAUUGCACAAUGGGGGAAACCCUGAUGCAGCGACGCCGCGUGGGCGAAGAAGUAUUUCGGUAUGUAAAGCCCUAUCAGCAGGGAAGAAGAAAUGACGGUACCUGAGUAAGAAGCACCGGCUAAAUACGUGCCAGCAGCCGCGGUAAUACGUAUGGUGCAAGCGUUAUCCGGAUUUACUGGGUGUAAAGGGAGCGCAGGCGGCACGGCAAGCCUGAUGUGAAAGCCCGCGGCCCAACCGCGGGACUGCAUUGGGAACUACCGGGCUGGAGUGCCGGAGAGGUAGGCGGAAUUCCUAGUGUAGCGGUGAAAUGCGUAGAUAUUAGGAGGAACACCAGUGGCGAAGGCGGCCUUCCGGCGCCCUACUGACGCUGAGGCACGAAAGUGCGGGGAUCGAACAGGAUUAGAUACCCUUGUAGUC
rnacentral:rRNA from 1 species